GGGACGAACGCUGGCGGCGUGCUUAACACAUGCAAGUCGAGCGGUAAGGCCCUUCGGGGUACACGAGCGGCGAACGGGUGAGUAACACGUGAGCAAUCUGCCCUUCACUUUGGGAUAACCCCCCGGAAACGGGAGCUAAUACCGAAUAUGACCCUGCCAUGCAUGUGGUGGGGUGGAAAGUUCUGGCGGUGGAGGAUGAGCUCGCGGCCUAUCAGCUUGUUGGUGGGUGAUGGCCCACCAAGGCGACGACGGGUA
rnacentral:rRNA from 1 species